UUACGGCCACAUUACGUUGAAACACCUGUUCCCGUACGAUUACCGAAGUUAAACAACGUCGAACCAGGCUAAUAACCAGAUGGGUAACCACUUGGGAAUACCAUGUGCUGUAUG